AUUGUGUAUUUUACAACAAACAUUCACCAUUUCGAUUGCUUGCUGAUUUAACACUAGAUUUUACCAAUGUCCGUGGCUUUGGAUAGAUUCAAUUGUUGAUUGUUGACUGUUGUAUGAUUGACUAAACAAUCAACAAUUGAAUGUCUCCAAAG